AUAAAACGCGUUUACAAUAAAAAAAAAACAAUUUUCUAACACAAAAAUACAUGGAAGAAAAAUAGCAAAUAAAACGGCACACAAUUUUUCUGUUCUCACACAAAUUAAAGCCAUAAAAGCGGAAACGAUGAUUCGCGGUAAAAAUCAAAGCGAAUUGAAUUAAAGAUUUCGAACUUGAAUGUCCAGUGUUAUCGGACGAGAAAAAAAACAGCAUAAAAAUAAACUAAGAUUGAAAACAUAAAAAUUUUGUGUAAAAUGCAUGGAGUGCAAUGCACAAUCUCAAGUUUUUAUGCUGAACUGAAAAAUUAAGUGAAUCAGCAGCAGUGCAGCAAGCAGACGAAACGACAAGGCAGCGCGCAAGUGAAGUAGCAGCGAAAUAAAUUCAAAAUCUGCGUCUGAAUAAUGCACACACAAAUACGUAUUUUUGUGGACAUUGACCUAAAUUAAGAAAAAUUAAUACUUCUGAGAAAAGAAUUUAUGCGGAAAGUAACAGAAAUGGAAGUGCAGCAAGAUGUCGAUAAUACGAGCGCACUUGAAAAUCUUUUAUGAAAAUCUGAAAACAACAAGCACUGAAAGCUGAAUAAUAAUGGCACUCAGAGUAGUUCGGCGCAAAAAACAUUUUCAAAAAUUAAAGUAAAUUUAAUGAAAUAUAUUUUUUCGCGAAAUUGGCAAAACUGUGUUCGGCACGAAAAAACAAAACAAA